rnacentral:rRNA from 1 species
UACGUAGGGGGCAAGCGUUGUCCGGAUUUAUUGGGCGUAAAGAGCGUGUAGGCGGCCAGACAGGUCCGUUGUGAAAACUCGAGGCUCAACCUCGAGACGUCGAUGGAAACCGUCUGGCUAGAGUCCGGAAGAGGAGAGUGGAAUUCCUGGUGUAGCGGUGAAAUGCGCAGAUAUCAGGAAGAACACCUAUGGCGAAGGCAGCUCUCUGGGACGGUACUGACGCUGAGGAGCGAAAGCGUGGGGAGCGAACAGG